UGGCUGUUACUUGUGUCUCUUUCCUGGUGGCUGCAGGUUCAAAUUUAACAGACCCUGCAUAAAAACUGAAAAGAGUCUGCAACCAGGUUCAUUAACUAGCUGAAUACCCUUAAAGGCGUAUGCGUUUAUGCUUGGUUUUACCAUCCUACAACCAUUCUGGGUGAAUUAUCCAUCUCUAUUAAAAGUUGGUCCUAUAUAUAUGGGCUAUGGAUGUUUUAUAUCCAUGAAGGCCUUUGUUCCUUCCUUUUUUGUGAUACCAUACAGAAGCCCCUGAUGAAGUCGUUCUGACGAAACGCGUUGGGUCGAAUCCGUUACGGUCUCUUAUCUAGUUCAUUAAUACACCCUACAGAAUAUACACCUAUAAGGGUGAGGGUGUUCUUUAAAGGCUUGAACAGAAAACCUAUUGACUGUAUCUGGAUGUUUUUCUUUUAAGAAUGUUUAUAUGAAUGUAUGGAACCUUUUAUCUGUAAAAAAAAUGUUCAUAUGAAUUUAUGGAAUUCUAUAUGUUUUUUAAUAAAAACA